AUAUUACCGGACAGGGCAGGUUUUCGGUCAUAAUCUGAGGGAGACUAGAUUAUAAUCUCGGCGAGUACAUUUUAAACCAAAACAAUUUUAUAUAUUUUUUUCAUUCAGUUUUACUAAGGGUUUUAUAUAUCGAUCCGAGGUACUUAAUGUAAUUUUAUAAAACAAAACGAAAAAAAUGACCAAAGGGAUUAAUAUUUCUAAAUUUCGAUAAACCAUAAAAAAGUUCGCAUAUUUUAAGGUGAACAAAUUUGAGCAUAUGUUUACUAAUCGAACAAGUGUUUCCGAGAAAAAAAAAAUCAC